rnacentral:rRNA from 1 species
GACAGAGGUGCCGAGCGUUAGGCGGAAUUACUGGGCGUAAAGGGCUCGUAGGCGGCCAACUAAGUCAGACGUGAAAUCCCCAGGCUCAACCUGGGAACUGCGUCUGAUACUGGAUGGCUUGAAUUCGGGAGAGGGAUGCAGAAUUCCAGGUGUAGCGGUGAAAUGCGUAGAUAUCUGGAGGAACACCGGUGGCGAAGGCGGGUCUCUGGGCCGAUACUGACGCUGAGGAGCGAAAGCGUGGGGAGCGAACAGG